GAGCCCAGAUAUAAACGAAACAAGAGAGGUUACAUUCCAACUAAAUCUGCAGCAGAAAUAGGGAAAGGAAACUAUAACCCCAAAAAGACCAGACAAAAUCCAGUAAUCAAAGGGCAGACUUCGAAGGCUGAGGGCAAGGCAAGCCAUCAUUUCUCAGAACAAGAGUCAAGGUCGGUGGUGGCUGGUUGGCCCAUCGCUGAGGAUCCACCGUCCUACUAGCAAGCGAAGCGGCAGUGUGAGCCGCUUGAUUCACUUCUCUAGGAAUCCAAUCCCAACUAACAUCGUCAAUUAUGGCUGAUAGCAAGAUUAACUCCGGCAAGGAUCACCUCAGCCUUUGCGAUCGGAGCAAAACCGCAAACUGCCUUGGAAGCAGAUCCACAAAUAAAAUCGCCCAUGUGAUUUCGAAUAAUGAUCCAGAGUCCAGCUGAAGAAGGAGGGGACCAUGCUGCAUCGCUAUUAACUUUCACAAACAGAGGAGGAGAAGGAGGGGACCAUCUUGCUUGCCUAGAAGAGAUGAUGGAUCUGGGAGGCAGAGACAGGGCAUUUGCUUCCAAAAAAAUCAAAAGCUAAUCACAUACCGGAAGAUAUGGUGAAAUGUGGAGAAGGCAAUCUGUGAUUGUAAACAAAGUCGCAUCUAGUCUUCUAGAUAGUCCAGCACAGACAACUGAUCAAAGUUAGUGCUCUCUUCUUUUCUAGCGCAUUGAACUGUGAGGUAGAAAUAGCAUGUAGCCAUUGAUCAAAGGUUGUGAUUUGUUGCCUA